CACCCAAAUAAAUUUGCCAGAUGAUUUUAAGCACUGUGCGACCAUGUCAUCGAUUAAACGAUGCUCAUACCAAAUGUUCUGCUUCUCGAAUUCGCCUUGGUAUUUUCUAUCAAGCAGAUAUCCUGGAAGAUGUCUUUGAAGCGACCAUCGUAUUUCUUCAAAAUGGUAUUUUUUGUGGACAAAUAAAGCGGCCACUUCUUCAGCAGUGCCAUUUGGAAGGACGAAUGAGCGAAUGAAGCAAUGGAAUCGUCUGUGUUGUACAUUCCCAUAGCAAUGCCACUGGUUUUGUACUCGAACAAUUCAUGCUUUUCCUUUUUGCCCGUUAAAUCUAUUACAAAACGCCGAUCGAUGACAAGGUCUAUUGCUUUGUACUGAUCGCCGUGAGCGUGUCGACCGAUAAUGAUUGGAUUUGUCCAUCCGGGCACUAGACGUGGGAUAUUUUUGCAUAAGAUCGGUUCACGAAACACAGUUCCACCCAAAAUGUUUCUGAUGGUUCCAUUCGGUGACAGCCACAUUUUCUUCAAUUUGAAUUCUGAAGAUAGAGAAAGAGUCAAAAAUGAAAUGAUUAUGUUGAAUUGUCCAAAUUCAAAGAAUGGUAAAUCUAAGAAGAUUGGCAAACCUUCGACCCGUUGUUCAUCUGGAGUGAUGGUGGCGCAUUUUAUGCCAACAUUGUGUUUUAGGACAGCAUGCGAUGCAUCGAUGGUGACUUGAUCAUUUGUUAGAUCACGAUGUGGCAGUCCCAAGUCAUAGUACAAGCAUUCCACCUGAAACAGUGAUAAGACACGUUUGAUUCGAGUACAUUAGGUCAAUGAAUCAGGCCAAUGUCACGUGUAAUUGAAAAGUGAAUGACCGAUUUUUUACCUUAACAUAGGGGAAAAUUAGUUUGGCCUUAAUAAAUUGCCAAAAAGUGAUCCGAAUAGCCCCCCCUCUCCCCUAUAUAUAUAUCUGAAAAACCUGUGCGCAAACUUUAAUGGUACAUAUAUAUAUCCGUUGAGAUUAAAAACAUAUUCGCAUUGGAAAAUACACAUUUCAAACUUUAUUUUAGAAAAAAAUAACCGAGUUCCCCAUCUAGGGAGGGAUAUAGAGCCCGAGAAAAAUACUGAAAGUCACUGGUCGAAAAAUCGACCACUGGUCAUUAAUGGGUAAAAUAGCAUUAUCAAACUUCCAUUCUCAGUUCUAAGCAUAAAUUGACUUAUCAUUCUAUUUAAUUUGAAAUAUAUUUUUAAUGUCAAAAAUGAUUUAAAAGAAGUACAUAUUUUUCAUUACGUUAUACAUUAAUAUGUAGGUACAUUGAACUGUAAAUGUGUGUGCAAAUAUGUUUCAGGUUAGCGUCGGGAUAAAAAUGGAACGAAUGUAAGAAAUGAGGAAUUCAAACGUUCGCUCCAGUGCGUUCCAAUGUGACGAUACGAUUGUUGCGAUUCAUCCGCCAUUUGCCACCGCAAGCUGCUUUAAUUUGUUCAUCAAAAGUAGGGCCAGUAAGAAAAGAAAAACUCCGCGAAAAUUCCAUAUGCGACAAUAGGAGCGGUAAUUGGUCUAUUUUGUGAUAAAGCGAUGUAGAGUAAAUAAUGUCUUUUAAAUAUGGUAACAUAUUCUGCAAUUGACCUGUCACUAUCACUACAAAUAGAGCAUAAGUAUCAAACGCGAAUUUUUCAAUCAUUCGAUUUUCAUUGAUAAAGGUUACAUAAUUUUCAAUAGAUACAUAAAAAUCCGUGAUUUCGAACUCUUCCAAAUGACUGAAUGAAAAGGGAAUUUUUGGUGCGGGUACAUCACGCCUUCCAUAAUAACAAUAUUUGAAUUUUUUAACAUUUGGCAAAUAUAUCGAACUGUCAUAUGCUAUAUAGUUUCCCAACCAUUUAGUAUGAAGAAUUUCAAUAGAUUGUAGAUAGCGUUCACUAAUCCUUUUGAACACAUCCAAAUCUUUCAUACCGAUCUUCAAACUGCGUAAAUUCGAAUUUAAUCGCAAAAUAUCAGUAACACUAUCAGAAAGUGGGACAUUCAAAUCGAAUUCUAAAUGUUGUAAAUUUGGAAAAUACUCCGACAGAAAUGGAAAAGUAUCAUUAGAACAAAAGCCCAAAUUCAAGCGAUUCACAUUUGGGAAAAUUCUACUCAAACACUUUUCUUUCAGUCUGCGUGAACAUUUGAUUGUUAGGUCUUCAAUAUUUUUAAAUGGUAUCUUGAAGCCUUCAAAUCCUAGCGCUUCGUCAAAUGAAGCCUUUUUCAAAGACUCAGUGCAAAACUCGCAUAUGUAGCUCAUAAUGCGAUGAUAAUUUGUGUAUUGAUUAUUUUUCAAACAUUUAUAGUAACGAAAUGUCAGCUCAGUUAUCAUUCCACCAAAGCAUCGUAUCAUUUGAAAGAUUGUUUUUAAAUCGGCGAUCGUUAUAUCUUCAUGUAAUGAUAUAGGAUUUUCUGCGUUUCUUUUCGUAGUUAUUUUCGCAUUGUAGCUUCGAAAUCCCCCUCGAUCAAUUAAGAUUGAUUUUCCAGCAUAAUUCCGAACGAAUGGCAUACGAGUAGCCAAUUUGAGGUAUGCAUUAGAGUCGGCAACAUUAAGCAGGUCUUCCAAAGACAAAUGAAUGAAGAUUUGUUCCAAACAAAAUUGAUUGACAUCAGUGAUUUUUGUUUCGAUAUUUAAAUAAGCCGUCUCAUCUGUUCGUCUUUUUUUUGGUUGACCAACUCCAGUUUCCAUGCACGUUCGUUUUAAAUCAACUUUUUCGUCAGCCAUUUCAAAUAGAACCACAAACAA